UGCGUAGGUGGUGAGGUAAGUCGGAUGUGAAAUCUCCGAGCUCAACUCGGAAAAUGCAUUGGAAACUACCUUGCUCGAGGGUUGGAGGGGGGACUGGAAUGCUUGGUGUAGCAGUGAAAUGCGUAGAUAUCAAGCGGAACACCAGUGGCGAAGGCGAGUCCCUGGACAACUCCUGACACUGAGGACAAAGCUAGGGGAGCAAACA
rnacentral:rRNA from 1 species